CCUACGGGUGGCUGCAGUGGGGAAUUUUCCGCAAUGGGCGAAAGCCUGACGGAGCAAUACCGCGUGAGGGAUGAAGGAUUUUGGUCUGUAAACCUCUUUUCUCAAGAAAGAAGUUCUGACGGUACUUGAGGAAUAAGCAUCGGCUAACUCCGUGCCAGCAGCCGCGGUAAUACGGGGGAUGCAAGCGUUAUCCGGAAUCAUUGGGCGUAAAGCGCCUGUAGGUUGUUUAGUAAGUCUGUUGUUAAAGACCAGGGCUUAACCCUGGGAAAGCAAUGGAAACUACUAGACUUGAGUAUGGCAGGGGUAGAGGGAAUUUCUAGUGUAGCGGUGAAAUGCGUAGAUAUUAGAAAGAACACCGGCGGCGAAAGCGCUCUACUGGACCAUUACUGAUACUCAGAGGCGAAAGCUAGGGGAGCAAAAAGGAUUAGAUACCCGAGUAGUC
rnacentral:rRNA from 1 species